UAAGAACGAUGUACAAUUUUAAAAUGCUUUAAGAAAAUUUUGUAUGGUAACACACUUUGCCGUCAAUAUCAAUCCGCUCUUCCCUAAAUUGUCUCCCGUAACCCAUGACUCCAUCUUCUCUGCCUUCUCUGAUGUAUAUCAAUCCAAUCUUUACACUUUCUUUUCAUUCCUUCGGGGAAGACAACAAUCGCCUACCACAACGAAGACACCACGCCCACGGUCUGUGAAAUGAUGAAUCCCACCCACUAAUAUUGAUAGGAAACCCUAAAUCCCUUCUCACAACCAUCAAAUUGUUGACCACUCUUUCACACUAACACUAGCCGUCACUCACCAACACCAGGACAACCAUUUUUCAGCAACACUAUCCAUCAUCGUUUGCCUCCCUACCACCGCCAUGGCAUCACAAGACCAGCCCCGCCGAUAUCUAUAGAAAGGAACUCCUACUGCAUCUUUUCCACCACCAUACACACCAUUCCCCACAUAUAGACACAUGAAACCCUAGCCACGACACGUCUUCAAGAUCCGUUAACUAUGGUAGAAGAUCCAAACCAGUCGAGACUUUGGGUUUAGGGUAAUUGAUAGUUUUUUAGUUUUUUUAUUUUUUAUUUUGUUGAAGUUUUGUCUCAAAGUUUUGUUCUUUCGAUUUUACAAGAAAUGGUGACGGUCUAAAGCCUUUCAAUACAGAUUAUGUGAAUGGGUUUCACAUUCCCUCCAAAAGGAACCCUAAUCUAACUCAACUCAUCUUCGAUCUUUUAUGUUUCUCUUUAUUUGUCAUUUUAAAAGUAAAAUUCAGACCCUAAAUGAUUUAUUUUUGUAGAUUUGUAAUGUUAGGAACAUAAUCCACAUUUCUGUGUGCAUUGAAUAUCAAGGAAAAGCUACGUAUCAUCCAAUGUUGGAUAAGUGAUUAGAAGGAAUUUCUUGCAGGCUAUGCAGGCACUUGGAUUGAUAUUUGAUAGGGUUAUGUAUUCAUGGUUAGCCAAGUGAAUCUAAUUUGGUGUUUGGCAUUCUUUCCCAGUACAAGUAUAUGAUGGUAUAUGUUUAUAUUUAUGUUCUUGAAAGUGUGUUUUAGGGAAUCUGGUUUGCUUUUAUAUUUAUUACUCGAGGCUCAGCAAUCACAUGUUUGGGGAGCAUGUUAAGAGUCUCAAAGGAUGUUCCACUAGAAGGUACUUAAGAAGCUAGAAUUACUAUAUGUUGUCUAGCUAUAAUAUAAUAAUAUAUGUAUGUGUUUUGUUUAUGGUAUUAUGUGUGUGUGUGAAUGAACACAUGUACAUCCAAUAUGGGCCUAAUGAAAAGAUGUACUAAAGCUUCUGAAAACCAAGUCAUCUUCUUAUUGAAGUGUUUAUUGCUUUGGUAACCAUAUAUAUAGUCUAAGCAUCCUGUUUUUUUUUAACUUAAUCAAGACAAACAUAAACUAAGCUGCAUAAUAGUAGCAGUGAAGUUAAUGUUAGUUGGUUGAGACUUUCAAAACAUUAAAAUGCUGAAAAAUCAUUUUGUUUUAAACAACUUGAUUGUCUAGAUUAUUUUGGUUUUGGUUUUAAAAACUAAAAAUAAAAUCCCAAUAGCCUCAAAUGCAACAACCACCGUUUCAAAUGGCUACUGUUCCAAUAAAUUAAAAUUGUCAUUUUUAAGUUAAAUACAGAAGAGUUAAUUUACAUUUUUCGUCCGUGAGUACAACUAAUUUUUCAAUUUUGGUCUAAAAGGAUCAUUUACAAAUUUGGUCUGAACUUUAUUCAUUUUGGUAUCUAUGCAGUUUAAAUUAAGAUUUUAGACUUUAAAAUUUGAUAAUGCUCAUUUUGCACUUGGAAAAAACUAAAAAGGAAUAGUAUACCACACCAUAUGAAAACAAUUCAUUUAUUUCUAUUAUACUUAAUUAAUGUUUAUAGCAUUUCUUUUUUAAUUAUUUUCAUACCAAUCAUAGGAUAAGAGGAAAUUAGAAAGUUGGUUCCUGCGUUAUGCUUUUAUUUGAACUUUUCAAGGGUAAAAUGGUAAUUUUUAAGGCAAAAAUGAUCUUGAUAUUGCUUUUUUAAUGGAAGUUCUUUUCUGUUUCAACUUUCACUAAUUUGGUGGCCAGACUUUCAUUUCUUCAUGUAGGAGCAGUGUAUUUUGAAAAAUCUACUCUAUCAUAGCAAUGUCACUCCAACGGAAAGAAAUUUUCAUUGGUACGAGAGAUCCUUUUAAAAGUAGAAGGUAAGAGAUAACUUGUAAAUACAAUGUUAUAGUUGGGUAGACCAUAAUUUACAUUGUUGUAAUGUAAAUAAAUACUAUAUCCGCUAACAGAAUUGCAGGAAAAAAAAAUAUUUUUUUUAUUUACUUUAUUGAAGAUAAUAUACAAAAAGUUAAUGAUUCUUUUGUAGAUAUUGCAGGGUAUCGUUUUCCAAACUUUUGCCUAUUCAACAGUUCUUCAAAAUUUUAGUAGUUAAUAGGAAAUCCUUUGUAGUCCAUUAUUUAAGGAUGAUGUUAUUAACAAGGAGGUUGAAUUGAUGUACAUGGAAUACGGGUAUUAUUUAUUUGGUUAAUUGGGUUUAUAUUUA